UACGGAGGGUGCAAGCGUUAAUCGGAAUUACUGGGCGUAAAGCGUGCGUAGGCGGUUCGUUAAGUCUGUUGUGAAAGCCCCGGGCUCAACCUGGGAACGGCGCUUGGGACGGCGAGGCUGGAGUUCGGGAGAGGAGAGUGGAAUUCCCAGUGUAGAGGUGAAAUUCGUAGAUAUUGGGAAGAACACCGGUGGCGAAGGCGGCUCUCUGGACCGACACUGACGCUGAGGCGCGAAAGCGUGGGGAGCAAACAGG
rnacentral:rRNA from 1 species